ensembl:lncRNA
GCCUGGCCACGAGCAUGCUAACUUGGAAAGCAACGCUGUGCAGACAGCUGAGUUUCCCAGGGCAGCACUGAGUGUUUUGGGCUUUGAUGACGAGUGUAUAAUGAGCAAAGUUCACCAAAAGGACGGCGUUUUCUCAAAAAGUGACAGGCUGUUGGUCCAGAGCAGCAUCUCUGCAGCUUAGGACCGCCAGGCCGCCAUCCCGGCACUGUUCUGCUUACAGACAGCGCUCCAGGUUCUCCUGGUGUGGCACACAGAGGGCGUCCCUCUGCCGUGCAGCCCUCCCCAGUGCCUGCCUGCCUGUCACUGUUCCAGCUGGGAUGGAGCUGUUUCCUUUGCAGUGCCUGCUAUGGCGCUGUGUCCUGGUUCUGUCAGCGCUCCGUGCCGUCCUGCAGGCUGUUGUGCAGAGCGCAGUGCUGCGAAGCUGUGCUUCCCAGCCCUGUGCUCUCCAGCACUCUGGCGGGAGUUCCGCCGCCCCCAGAAAUCUCCUGUUCCCAGGAGCCUCCGCUGCUCCCUUGCACGCGCAUCUGUGUGCACAGAAGUGUGCAGAACCAUACACCCACGUGCAAAGACUUCCCCGCACACACACCUGUGCAUUCACACACGUGCAAGCGCAUCCUUGCACAGCCCUGUGUGCGCACUCCAUUCGUGUGCACGCAAGUGUGUGCAAAACCCAACAGCCUUGUGCAAAGACCUUGAUGCACGCAUUCGUGUUCAUGCAUACACACACAUGCGUGCACACCAUCCUUCUGCACACCCACGUGCACAAAGACACGAGCGCAGCUCCAGCCUUGCACACAGCCAUCUGCACGCACACACGUGCAAAACUUUCACCCGCAGACGCCAUGCACACGCCCACGUGCAGUGCACACUCUGAUGCUCAGCACCAUCUCUGCACACCCCCCCGUAUGCACACAUACCUGCACUCACAGCUCGAGGACAAAAUGCCGCUCACGUGGCACAGCCAACACGCAGGCAGUGGGCAAUGUCAGGAGGAAAGGUGCCCCGUUACGCUCAUUCAUUCUCCUCUCUUUAAUGCAGGCAUUGGGGCACAGCUGGAGGCCCAUCCUGAGAUGUGGAUUGCUGCGAGG